rnacentral:lncRNA from 1 species
CUUGAGAGAGUAACAUGCUGCUGAGACCAUCUGGACAGUGUACAUGACUGAACCCGGUUAAAGCCUUUAUAUAAACUUCUAAGAUGCUGGUGGGCAGCUACGGAGAUCUACUUGUCUUGCUGCCACACAAGAGAAGCCUCGCAUCAAGAAUUCCACAAGGAUCUCUUCUUUUGCAAGAAGACCUCACCUGCUGAUAAGACCAGAAGAUAUGGCAGAGCAUCUGGGACCAGGACUGCAGGGUCAAUAAUACUAGGAGCAUUUGGUACUGAGCCAAUCGCUUUUCUCCAUGUGGAAUGAUGAUUUGGUUGAAGAGACGGAAGUAACCUCUGCAAGAGUACAGAUGCAGGUUCCGAAAAAAUACCUACGCCAUUCCAAGCCUCUGCAUUCGGGUAUGUGAAUUCAAAAUGGCUAAUAGCCCAACUCCCAGGACUCCACACAGCAAGCCAAGCUUUCCCCUCCGGUAAAGACAGCUGGCUCAUUUUCAUUUACACGGAUCAUUCCUCUUCAACUCUGUAAGAUUGAGAUAUAAAUUUGUUGAGAUUUGUUUUGUCUAUUAUAAUGCAUUGAGUAUAAACUUGGAAUGAAAAGAUAGGCGUUCAAGUGCAGAUUCUAUAUUCUUUCUCAAUGCCUGACACGCGAGGAUUCAAGUUUUAAAUUUAUUUAGAGCUGGUACUGGCAGAGAUCUAGAGGUCAUGGUGGUAAUAAGCCAAACAGAAGGCAAUAAUGCAGCGCUGUCUGCUAAGGUCAACCUCUGUGGACACUGGAAACAUGAAGCUGGAAAUGGAGAACGUCCCCAACUCAAUUCAACAAGGCCAAAUGUAAUGGGCAUAUGGUAGGCAUUCAGCUUGUGGCAAACAAAACAAUUAAUAGAAUCUGAAUAUAAAAUGUUGCUGAAAAACUUUGCAAUCCAGAAAUUUAUAAAUAUUUACUGGACUAACCAAUAGUUACUAUUAUAACUUAGCCUAGAAAUUAUUAACCAUGCAUGACUAAUACUGAUUUUCCAUUCCAUGAGAGCCAUUAUGAUUGUUUUGUUCACCACUCUAUCUGUGGUGCCUACAAGAGGGCCUGAAAUGUAUUAGGUCGUCAAAAAUAUUUAUCAUGAAUGAACAAAGAGAUGAACAAGAAGACAUAGCCUAUGAUUUAUCUACAAUUAUUUGUCACACUUGUAUUUAUAAAAUUAAUUUUCCAACAGCUUUGAAGUAAUCCACCAAACUCCCAAGUACUUUUUUCCAUUUUGCUUCCUAGGUCUUCCUACGUUAUAUCAAGAUUAUGGAGAAAAGCUUGAAACCCAAUAGGAUUAAUGCUCUUAAUCACAUAUUUUAUUCAUAUGCCUUAUCUGUCAUGUGUUUUUUUUUUUUUUUUUGAAGAGAAGUCUAAUGUUUUCCAAGCCCUGCAGAGUGGGCCCAUGCUAAUCAGCCCAGUCAGUAUUCAUAUCCAAACAUUUUGCUUGGGUACACACACACACACACACAUGCACAAACUGUGCAGAAACUACGUUAGUAAUUGCAGCCCCAAUUAAUUCUUGCUUGCAAGGCCACUGCAGAGGCAAGUUUAGUAUACCAAUCCAGGCAUGCCUAUCGAUUUGUUCCCAGCAGACGGUGCAUGCCUCCUCUCUUCCCGAGUGAAUGAGUCGCACUUUGUAAGGUUAUAGACGGCAAGGCGAGGCAUCCAAGAGAGACAUGUUUCCAGACAUCUUGGAAUAUGCUUCCAUGAGAUCUCUCUUUACCAAAAGAUUUUAAAACACUUGCUAAACGUCAAGGCACAAGGAUGGGGAAUGAAGAAUGAAGCCUUAUAAGGCAGCAUCUUAGGUAAGAAUUUAUCCCAGGAUGCGAUCACUGCUAUUAAGUUUACAUGGAUUGAGAGGAGCGGUGAAUAAGAGAAG